rnacentral:rRNA from 1 species
UCAAAACUUUCAACAACGGAUCUCUUGGUUCUGGCAUCGAUGAAGAACGCAGCGAAAUGCGAUAAGUAAUGUGAAUUGCAGAAUUCAGUGAAUCAUCGAAUCUUUGAACGCACAUUGCGCCCCUUGGUAUUCCGAGGGGCAUGCCUGUUCGAGCGUC